rnacentral:rRNA from 1 species
AGUGAACGCUGGCGGUAGCCUAACACAUGCAAGUCGAACGGCAGCACAGUAAGAGCUUGCUCUUAUGGGUGGCGAGUGGCGGACGGGUGAGGAAUACAUCGGAAUCUACUCUGUCGUGGGGGAUAACGUAGGGAAACUUACGCUAAUACCGCAUACGACCUACGGGUGAAAGCAGGGGAUCUUCGGACCUUGCGCGAUUGAAUGAGCCGAUGUCGGAUUAGCUAGUUGGCGGGGUAAAGGCCCACCAAGGCGACGAUCCGUAGCUGGUCUGAGAGGAUGAUCAGCCACACUGGAACUGAGACACGGUCCAGACUCCUACGGGAGGCAGCAGUGGGGAAUAUUGGACAAUGGGCGCAAGCCUGAUCCAGCCAUACCGCGUGGGUGAAGAAGGCCUUCGGGUUGUAAAGCCCUUUUGUUGGGAAAGAAAUCCAGCCGGCUAAUACCUGGUUGGGAUGACGGUACCCAAAGAAUAAGCACCGGCUAACUUCGUGCCAGCAGCCGCGGUAAUACGAAGGGUGCAAGCGUUACUCGGAAUUACUGGGCGUAAAGCGUGCGUAGGUGGUCGUUUAAGUCCGUUGUGAAAGCCCUGGGCUCAACCUGGGAACUGCAGUGGAUACUGGACGACUAGAGUGUGGUAGAGGGUAGCGGAAUUCCUGGUGUAGCAGUGAAAUG